UGAUUAAUACUAAAUUAAAAAAUAUUAAAAAUAAUAAAAGACGUUCCCCAAAGCCUCGGCUGUACUUUGUGUGUACUGAGCUAAUUAGCGGAUGUUAGCAUGCUAACUUGCCAAAGAUUACACCUGCGACACAGCGUGUUAGCAUCGUUAGCAUGGAGCCGAACACGUCAAUAGAUAAGGUAACUUAACCGCGGAGUUUCACGCAGAAAGGCGAACUUAACCGGACGGAACUCAGCUGGCCUUAUGUGUGCUAAUUAAAAGGAAAUUAUUUGGGAACUCUGGGAAUCACCAAUCAAGAGAGACCUGCGUAUUACAGUCUGAUUCAACUGGAGGGCGAUGUCGGAGUUUCCCAGCCCCUCCUCUCAGGGUUGACUGACUGACUCACUCAGCUGCUCAUCUACCGGGUCAAGGACAAGCUCGUACCCUCGCCGCCCAUCCCUCAGCGUCAAGCAUUCACUACCAACCUCCAGGGGAACGGCAGUGGCAGCCAGGGCCUGCUCGGUCUGCUCCUUAGACUGUCCCAACAUACAUGAAGACGAAGGUCACACGGGUGUAAAACGAAAUAUGGGUCUGACACUUGUAAGAGGUUUUUGGACAAAUCACCAGUGUCAGAGCCUCCAUCUCUUCAUCCACUUUCUUUGCACAGGUUUCUAACGCCUCUUUCCACCGGGCGACAUCCCAGGCCCGGUCACUUAACCUGCGAGAGGUGUCGCUUUCACCCCAGGUUGUCUGCAGAGGAAAAGCGCUAGCAAAUGACUGAGUGGAGGUUGAUAAAAUGUGAACGUACAAAAGAUUAUGUGGACAAGGCAAGGUGUAAUAUUCUUCAUCACAUCCAAGAAUGUGGCUGUGGCUGUCUGGCAGGGAUCCUCACAAAGAAGCACCCACCUUACAGUUGGUCUCGUUGCGUAGUGACCUCCCUUCCUGCCGGAUCACAUUGGAAACGGAUCGCUCAUGUUGUGCCGUGGCAGACAGCUCGUGGUUGUUGCUGUGCCACUCUGUCUCACUGUGGCGAAGGCCAGGCUUUGCAGGAAGUGCAGACAUCCUACUGUUACAGCGACAUGCAAACGUCCAAGUACAGUUUAAAAACAGACACAUACUGACACCAGCGGCAGAGCUCCUAUCAUUUGCAUAAGUAGUUAGUUUAAUGCACACCUGUUUCAGAUAUCAUCAUGUUUCAAAACAUGAUGCUACUUUAAAAUGAGGCUUUCUUUAAGAAGAAAAGAGAAAUAUUCCGUCCUUUUUUUUGUGAGAUUAUUCUGAAUAUUCUUCAGCAUCACUUAAUAUAAUAGUAUAUUUGAAUAUUGUACUGCAAUGACCCUUUAAAGUGACUCAAAAGUGGGUGUUGUGUUAUCAUACCGUACACAGUUAAUGUUAUGCUACAUUUAGCAUAACAUUUAACUGAGGAUGACUGAAGUUUGUCAACAGGGCGCUGUAGUGAAGUUGAAAUGGAACUUACAGUGACAGAUAUUAGGCACAACG